AUUCCAUGAUGUGGGCAGUCUGAUAUGUAUCCUUGAAAACGUUCCCAUGCUUCUGGAAUAGAUUCACCUUUCUGCUGCUAGAAUUCUGAAAUCUUCCCUCGUAAGAUA
rfam:Sorghum bicolor cultivar BTx623 chromosome 5, whole genome shotgun sequence.